rnacentral:rRNA from 1 species
UACGGAGGGGGCUAGCGUUGUUCGGAAUUACUGGGCGUAAAGCGCACGCAGGCGGUCUGACAAGUUGGAUGUGAAAUCCCGGAGCUCAACUCCGGAACUGCAUUCAAAACUGUCAGGCUAGAGUCCGGAAGAGGAGAGUGGAAUUCCCAGUGUAGAGGUGAAAUUCGUAGAUAUUGGGAAGAACACCAGUGGCGAAGGCGGCUCUCUGGUCCGGUACUGACGCUCAGGUGCGAAAGCGUGGGGAGCAAACAGGAUUAGAUACCCUGGUAGUCCACGCUGUAAACUAUGAGUGCUAGACGUUGGGGGGCUUGCCCCUCAGUGUCGCAGCUAACGCUUUAAGCACUCCGCCUGGGGAGUACGGUCGCAAGAUUAAA